CAGUAGCCGCGGUAAUACGUAGGUGGCAAGCGUUGUCCGGAAUUAUUGGGCGUAAAGGGCUCGCAGGCGGUUUCUUAAGUCUGAUGUGGAAGCCCCCGGCUCAACCGGGGAGGGUCAUUGGAAACUGGGAAACUUGAGUGCAGAAGAGGAGAGUGGAAUUCCACGUGUAGCGGUGAAAUGCGUAGAGAUGUGGAGGAACACCAGUGUCGAAGGCGACUCUCUGGUCUGUAACUGACGCUGAGGAGCGAAAGCGUGGGGAGCGAACAGGAUUAGAUACCCCUGUAGUCCCUGUCUCUUAUAC
rnacentral:rRNA from 1 species